AACGAACGCUGGCGGCAGGCUUAACACAUGCAAGUCGAACGGGUGUAGCAAUACAUCAGUGGCAGACGGGUGAGUAACACGUGGGAACCUUCCUCGGGGUACGGAACAACUCAGGGAAACUUGAGCUAAUACCGUAUACGUCCGUGAGGAGAAAGAUUUAUCGCCCUGAGACGGGCCCGCGUCGGAUUAGCUAGUUGGUGGGGUAACGGCCUACCAAGGCGACGAUCCGUAGCUGAUCUUAGAGGAUGAUCAGCCACACUGGGACUGAGACACGGCCCAGACUCCUACGGGAGGCAGCAGUGGGGAAUCUUGGACAAUGGGCGCAAGCCUGAUCCAGCCAUGCCGCGUGAGUGAAGAAGGUCUUCGGAUUGUAAAGCUCUUUUGCCAGGGACGAUAAUGACGGUACCUGGAGAAUAAGCCCCGGCAAACUUCGUGCCAGCCGCCGCGGUAACAC
rnacentral:rRNA from 1 species